UAAAACCAGCACCUCAAGUGGUCAGGAUGAUUAUUGGGCCUAAAGCAUCCGUAGCCUGUUUUGUCAGUUUUCGGUUAAAUCCAUACGCUUAACGUAUGGGCUGCCGGAAAUACUGCAAAACUAGGGAGUGGGAGAGGUAGACGGUACUCGGGAGGAAGGGGUAAAAUCCUUUGAUCUCUCGAUGACCACCUGUGGCGAAGGCGGUCUACCAGAACACGUCCGACGGUGAGGGAUGAAAGCUGGGGGAGCAAACCGGAUUAGAUACCCGGGUAGUCCCAGCUGUAAACUAUGCAAACUCAGUGAUGCAUUGGCUUGAUGCCAAUGCAGUGUUGCAGGGAAGCCGUUAAGUUUGCCGCCUGGGAAGUACGUACGCAAGUAUG
rnacentral:rRNA from 2 species